rnacentral:lncRNA from 1 species
AUUCUCAUGUCUGAGAUUGCUUUAUAAUUUAUCAUACUAGCAUUAUUCCAGUAUUGAUGUAAGGAGUUUUGCUAGCCUUCUAGAAUGAGUUGGAGAGUUGUUUGUAUUUUUCUAUGAACGUUUAUAUAGUGUAGGAGUUAUUUGCUUCCUGAAAUUAUAAUAGAAUUUUUAAAAGUUUUAUUUGGUGCUUUCUAAAAUUUUAAGUAAAAAAGUGUUUCAGACAUGCAGGAAAUAAUACAGCAGACAUUGAUUAUCUCAUUAAUAGAUAUUCAUGAUCUCAUUUCCCAAAUUUAAAAGAUACCAACGUUGCUGUGUUUCAGUUAGCAUUAAGUUCUCCCCCUCAACACACACACGCGUGCGUGCACAUGCGCGCGCACACACACAGAUGCACACCUACCCACUUCCUGUGAGUAAGGAAUAAGAUCUCAGAAACGUUUAGCAAGCUGUGUUUCUUGGGUUUGAAGAAUGUUGUAUAAUUGUGUGUGUCACAGGCACUGUGGAGUGAUUGAUUUGUCUCUGUCCCUUGGUGGAGAAGAUAAGCUCACUUUUAACAUAGAAAAAAGCUGUGCACAAGCUGCAUUCCCUUUUUUGUCUUAUCCUAAUAAUGUGUAUCAUUCUCAUGCAUGUGUUCAUCUUCAUUUUACUUAUGUGUAUUUAAAAUACAUAGGACUAUUUCGUGUUUUUAAAAUUUUUUGGAAAAAAGACAUCAUAGUUAUCAUUUUGAAACCUAUUUUUCACCCAACACCGUGUCUUUGAAAUAUAGCCAUAUUGACAUUUGUUGAUCUCCAUUUCUUCACAAUAUAACAUCUUUUAAAAUUGGGAUGCUUCCUAAAUCAGUGGUGUCUUAAAAUUGGCAGCAUUUUCUUAAUGACAGAAUAAUGCUGUACCUUAUAAUCGAUGUUAUCUUAGAUUUGAUUACAUCCAGUAGUUAAUUCCUCUUAAUUGCUGUAAAGCAUUCUGUUGUUUGAAUAUACAACAGUUAAUCCAUUUCUCUAUCAUAGUUAAUCAUUUUUCUUAUUGGUAGAUAAUCAGGUUGUUUGCACUUUCACUUUUAUAAGCAGUUCAAAAGUGAGCGUUCUUCCUGUCUCAUAAACAAUUAUUCUGAAUGAAAAUGUUGAAUUUAGUAAAUAUGGAUAUUCUGCUUUCUAGGUAUUGCCAAAUUGCAUUCCUAAGUAGUUAUAUUACUUUAUACUUCCGCCAGCAAUGUAUAAGAGCUCCUGUUUGCUUUUCAUUUUUAGAUUUGUAUCAGUUUGAAACUGUAUUUAUGUUGUGAGCUAAGGAUCUUAUUUUCUCUUUUUCAAAUGGAUAGCCAUUCGCCUCAGUAUCAUUAGUUAUUGAAUAGUUUAUUCUCUACUUGACUUACAGUGCUCUAUCCGCCAUAUACUAAAUGCAGGCAGUUACAGAUUAAGAUCUGUUUCUAGGCUUCCUUUUCUAUUGCAUUAGCUUAUGUGUGUAGUAUAUUUACUGUAGUUUUAUAGUAAGGCAUCUCCUUAUUAAUACUCUUCAAAAUUGUCCUGGCUAUUGUCUUUUUAUAACUACAAGAAUUUUUAAAUCAUGUUGCCUGAUUCUGGGGAAAAAUCUUUAGGAUUUUUAUUAGAACUACUUUGAAUUUAAAAAUAUAUAUUUGGAGAAAAUGGCCAUCUUCAUGAUGUUGAAUCUUCCCAUUUAUGAAUAUGGCUGGUUAGUUGGUCAGUCUCUUUGUAUCGAUCUUGCUUCUUUUUCUAUCAAUAAAGUUUUACAAUUUUCUUCAUAACAGUCUUGCACAUUGUAACUUUCUUUAAAAGUACCUUUCUAAUUGUUUGUUGUUGGUGGAUAAGAAUACUAGUUUAGUCUCCAUUUCAUCUCCUUUGGUGCUUAGUAGAUUUUUUUAGGAGCUGAAACUUUUAUUGUCUUUUUAGCUGCUUUUAUGGUUGGUUAAGCCAGAUUGUUCCUUCUACCUGGCUCAAUUUUGGUAAUCUUUUCCUUGGAAAUCAUGCAUUUCUAGGUUUGAAAAUUUGUUAGGAAAAGUUUUAACAUAGGCUGUUUUAUUUUGUAAAUCUCUGCAGCAUCUCUCUAUGUUUUGUUUUCUUGAGUCUAAGUUUUUUGUCAACAUUUUUUCCUUUGUCAUUGGAAUCAUUAAAAAUUUCCAAGAAGCAGCUUUUGGUUUUAUUUAUUGAGUAUUUAUUUCUAUAAUUUUUGCAGUGAUCUUCAUUUCUUUUUUCAACUUCACUUGCACUUAGUAGUUCUUUUAGUCUCUUGGGUUGAAUGUUUAGUUCACGUAUAUCUUGGUCUUUUCUUGUUUUCUAAUAUAUGCAUUCCUCUUCUAAGUACUUCUUGAUUAUAUCACAUAGGUCUUGUUUGGUGGUGUUCCACUUUUUGCUCAUUUCCAAAUAGUUCGUCAUUUUAGUUUUGAUUAUUAAGCCUAGUGUGUUUUUUUUCCUCCCAAAAGAGGAAAAAAAUGUGGGGAUAGGCUUGAAGGGAGGGGCAUAUUUUUUAUUUUAUUAUCCUUUUGUUAUUCUUACGUAGCUAAAUUUAUGGGCCAAGAAUGUCACUUGUAUAAUUUCGGUUGUCUGUAUUACUGAGAGAUUUUUCUGUGUUUUUAUGUAUGCUGAAAAGAAGGUUUAUUCACAGUUUGUGUGUAUCUGUAUUUUAGAUUGAGCUUGUUUAUUUAGGUUAUUUAAAUUUUUAUAUCUUGUUUUUAUUGUCUGUCAAACUUUCUGGUUUAGGGUAGAUGGUUUUGUUAAUGUCUCCCAUAAAGAUUAUGAAUAUUUCUCCUUGUAUUUGUAUCAGUUUUUACUUUAUGUAUUUCAAAGUUUUGAUGUGAGGAGUCCUAUGACUGAUACGUAUUCUUGAUGCAUUGUAUCAUGUCAGCAGUAUUAAAUACCUGUUUUUUUCUCUUUAAUGCUUUUUGAUUGAAUUCUAUGGUCUUAAUCUUGCUAUGCUUUUUAUUAGUAUAUGAUACUCCUUUUUAUCAACUUCCCUGUGUCAUUUUGUGUUCCAUCUGAUUCAAAAACAGCAUUUAGCUAUUUUUAUUACUUAUUUUUCCUCCAUUUUCUCUAUUCUUCUUCAGGAAGUCUUAGAGUUUUUGAGAUUUUAGAGCCAGCUGUCUUCCACAUCUCAGCUUUACCCUGGCAACACUUUUCUCCACCAUGUGCUUUGGGCUAUAAUUCUUUCUCAAGAUAUACUUUUUUCCCCAGAAUUUGUCAAGAUUUGUACAUUUCUUGUUCUCAUCAUUGCGGAUUUAUCUAGUAUGUUUCUGUGUUUUUAUAUUAUCUCCCAUCAUUUUAUGAGGGAGGGUAGUUGCCAGUAAUCAUUGUUCUGUCUUGAUCCUGUGGUGUCCCUCCCUGAUUCCAGCACUUAGGUUUUAUUCUUAACCUGUUUUGUUUGGGGCACAAGAGUUUCAUAAACCUAUAUUCAAUCCAUCAUCUUUGAGCCUUCCUGAGCUGUUUCUUAAAAGGCUGUUAUCUUACAGCGUGUCAUUAUUUUACUACUGUUGAUCUCAUAAGUUGGAGUCACUUCAGUUCCUCAGGGCUUCUGCUAGCCACCCCAGAUGGAGAGCAGCUCAUUUUUUGGACCUAUUAUUGGAGAGUGUCAGUGACUAUAUCCCGUCCUUUUUUGUAGGUCCUAUUCAUGACUUCUGUAUAUCCCUUCCUUUUUACUGGCCCCUGUGACACUAUUCUAAUAGGGUUUUCUUCCUACCUUUCUCUAUCCCCCUUAUUUUCACCGGUGGUUUUUCUUCACUCAUUACUUAAUUGGCAUUGCAACUUAAUGUAAGAGUCAUUGGCUUUUUGUCCUCUUUUUAAAGGUAAAAAAUAAUUGUACUGACUUUUAUACAAUAGUAAUUGUACUUUUAUUAUCCCUUGAGAAAAUAUGUAUGUAUGUAGAUAACAGACAUAUUACUUUGGUAGAGCCAUAUCAUUAAUAUACACUGAUUUUAAAAACACUUGCUUUGAAAGAUCUCACUUUACUAUCUUCUUUAAUCAUCACAACAACAUAUAGUAUGAUUGGAUAAGUAUGAGGCAGAUAAAAUGAAGUAAAUCUUGCAAGGAAGCAAUAAUAUUUUAUAAAUUUACCUGUUCUGAAGGGUACUUUUUUUUUUGAAAUGGACUCUUGCUGUAUCGCUGCUGGAGUGCAGUGGCAUGAUCUCUGCUCACUGCAGCCUCCAUCUUUCGUGUUCAAGCGAUUCUUGUGCCUCAGCCUCCCGAAUAGCUGGGACUACAGGCGUGUACCACCAUGCCUGGCUAAUUUUUGUAUAUUUAGUAGAGAUGGGGUUUCACUAUGUUGGCCAGCUGGUCUCGAACUCCUGACCAGCUGUCAGUUGUCAGGAGCUGAUGAGGUGUCAAGUGAUCUGCACACCUCGGCCUCCCAAAGUGCUGGGAUUACAGGCGUGAGCCCCUGUGCCCGGCCUCAAGGGUGCUUCUGACCAUACCUAAACUUAGGCAGUAACUUUAGAUUUGCCAUGCUCUAUAAGUUUUUACUCCUCCCCAUGUACAUUUGAAUGAUAUUACAUUUAUGGGGAAAAUAUUCGCCACUUUAUUUUGGUGUAGAUGUGUUUAUUACUUGUGUUAACUCCAGAUGUAAAGCCAAGUGUAAAAUAGCUGAUGGAGCCUUCAUUCUACUGGCUCUGUAAAUGUAAUAGAUGUGUGAUCACAGGCAAGUCGUUUAUCUGUCUGCAGUAUGGUUUCCUCAUCUAUCAAAUAGGCAAAAAAUAGCUCUUAAAAACGAGUGUCAUCAACCAAAUAAAAUAUGGUGUGUGUGAAAAAUCUUUGUAAAGGAUAAAGAACCCAUGACAGGCUUCACUGUCAGCCAUGCCUACCUCAUAUAACAACAGUUAAAGUUGUUAGCCUUUAGUUAUCAAAGCAUAUGUCAUGAAUUCAGUUCAUGGGGAUCCUUGCCCACUUGUCGAUAAGAGGGUAAUAGUUGGUAUGUAAAGAAAACAUUAACUGCAGAGAUAUGAUACAGAUAUGUAGCUAUAGAUAUAUCUCACUGAGAUUUAUAUGAGUCAGAGGUGGAGAAUAUCCAAGCCAUGUUACCAUCUUCCAGUAUCCACUUCUUAUGGGCUCUCAAAUAUCGGACCUUUGCCCAUUGCCUAAACUGCAGUUCAUCUUGCCAACUGGUUUUGUUUUGAUUCCUAUUUAUUAUGUCUUAGGCUGUAAUCUCAUCCAGACCUGAUUCUGAGACCAAGCUCUGUGUCUUCUUGCCUUACUUGCUGCUUUUGACCUCUUAAACUAGAGCUUAUCAUUUUAAAUGGCCCAACUUGAUUACACUGUAGAUAAGACUAAAUACUGUGACUCUGAGAAAACAUAAAGUUUAUUUGUGCGACAAAUUA